CCCAUGGACAGAGGAGCCUGGCAGGGUCACAAAGGAGUUCAACACGACGACUUAGCAACUGAGCAACAAAGGGCAGUGGGAGUGAUGGGUAACUAGGCGGGCUCCUGUCAUGAAAUCCAGUGAUUGCGGGCUGUGGCUGUGGGCAUCACACAAGGCAGCGGCAAGUGGGAAGAUCACUACUGACUUGACAUCUUCAGGUUUGUGAAACAUGCAUUAAGAGAAGCUGAGUGCAAAACAUGGAAAAACAGAAAAGACAAAGGACCACUUUUGCUCUCCCGAAUACUUGACAUCCUUGGCCACUAGGUUCAUCUGGGACCCCAAACCCCACUCUGGGGCAGCAGGGGUCAGAGGCUCUUCAGUCCCCACCCUUAAGGAAUUGGCCUAAGGCAGCCUGCUGGGAAAAACUAACCGAAAGCACACGUGAUGGGUCCGAUUUGCUGGAUCUGGUAAUCGACCAGCAAUGGGCUGCAAGCAAGGGACUGAGAUGGCUGACACUUACCUGUGGAAUUCUGAUGACUGAUUAUGUGAGGCCUGAUGGCCAACUGUGUCUCUAGAGAGUAAAACAUUCUGAGUCCAAAUAAAAAUACAAGCAGGUUUUUGUCUGGCAGCUUUGUGGGGAAGCAAAGAAAGCAUCCUUAGCCAAGGAGAACGCAGAGGUGGAG
ensembl:lncRNA